UACGGGGGGAGCAAGCGUUGUUCGGAUUUACUGGGCGUAAAGGGCGCGUAGGCGGCCAGCACAAGUCAGUUGUGAAAUCUCCGAGCUUAACUCGGAAAGGUCAACUGAUACUGUGCGGCUAGAGUGCAGAAGGGGCAACUGGAAUUCCUGGUGUAGCGGUGAAAUGCGCAGAUAUCAGGAGGAACACCAGUGGCGAAGGCGGUGCUCUGGGCCGGAACUGACGCUGAGGAGCGAAAGCGUGGGGAGCGAACAGG
rnacentral:rRNA from 1 species